rnacentral:rRNA from 1 species
UCGAGCGAGCCGAACUAAUUGAUUACCUUCGGGUAUGAAGUUAGGGAACCUUGCGGCGGAUGGGUGAGUAACACGUGGGUAACCUACCCUCUAGUCUGGGAUACCACUUGGAAACAGGUGCUAAUACCGGAUAAAAGGAGAGAUCACAUGAUUUCUUUUUGAAAGGCGGCGUAAGCUGUCGCUAAAGGAUGGACCCGCGGUGCAUUAGCUAGUUGGUAAGGUAACGGCUUACCAAGGCAACGAUGCAUAGCCGAGUUGAGAGACUGAUCGGCCACAUUGGGACUGAGACACGGCCCAAACUCCUACGGGAGGCAGCAGUAGGGAAUCUUCCACAAUGGACGCAAGUCUGAUGGAGCAACGCCGCGUGAGUGAAGAAGGUUUUCGGAUCGUAAAGCUCUGUUGUUGGUGAAGAAAGAUAGUGAGAGUAACUGCUCAUUAUUUGCCGGUAAUCAACCAGAAAGUCACGGCUAACUACGUGCCAGCAGCCGCGGUAAUACGUAGGUGGCAAGCGUUGUCCGGAUUUAUUGGGCGUAAAGCGAGCGCAGGCGGAAAGAUAAGUCAGAUGUGAAAGCCCUCGGCUUAACCGAGGAAUAGCAUCGGAAACUGUCUUUCUUGAGUGCAGAAGAGGAGAGUGGAACUCCAUGUGUAGCGGUGGAAUGCGUAGAUAUAUGGAAGAACACCAGUGGCGAAGGCGGCUCUCUGGUCUGUAACUGACGCUGAGGCUCGAAAGCAUGGGUAGCGAACAGGAUUAGAUACCCUGGUAGUCCAUGCUGUAAACGAUGAGUGCUAAGUGUUGGGAGGUUUCCGCCUCUCAGUGCUGCAGCUAACGCAUUAAGCACUCCGCCUG